rnacentral:rRNA from 1 species
AGUGGCGAACGGGUGAGUAACACGUGAGUAACCUGCCCCUGACUCUGGGAUAAGCGUUGGAAACGACGUCUAAUACUGGAUAUGAUCACUGGCCGCAUGGUCUGGUGGUGGAAAGAUUUUUUGGUUGGGGAUGGACUCGCGGCCUAUCAGCUUGUUGGUGAGGUAAUGGCUCACCAAGGCGACGACGGGUAGCCGGCCUGAGAGGGUGACCGGCCACACUGGGACUGAGACACGGCCCAGACUCCUACGGGAGGCAGCAGUGGGGAAUAUUGCACAAUGGGCGAAAGCCUGAUGCAGCAACGCCGCGUGAGGGAUGACGGCCUUCGGGUUGUAAACCUCUUUUAGUAGGGAAGAAGCGAAAGUGACGGUACCUGCAGAAAAAGCACCGGCUAACUACGUGCCAGCAGCCGCGGUAAUACGUAGGGUGCAAGCGUUGUCCGGAAUUAUUGGGCGUAAAGAGCUCGUAGGCGGUUUGUCGCGUCUGCUGUGAAAUCCCGAGGCUCAACCUCGGGCUUGCAGUGGGUACGGGCAGACUAGAGUGCGGUAGGGGAGAUUGGAAUUCCUGGUGUAGCGGUGGAAUGCGCAGAUAUCAGGAGGAACACCGAUGGCGAAGGCAGAUCUCUGGGCCGUAACUGACGCUGAGGAGCGAAAGCAUGGGGAGCGAACAGGAUUAGAUACCCUGGUAGUCCAUGCCGUAAACGUUGGGCGCUAGAUGUAGGGACCUUUCCACGGUUUCUGUGUCGUAGCUAACGCAUUAAGCGCCCCGCCUGGGGAGUACGGCCGCAAGGCUAAAACUCAAAGGAAUUGAAGGGGGCCCGCACAAGCGGCGGAGCAUGCGGAUUAUU